GCUCGUCCCCAAUCCCCACUCGCUCGUCUCCCCCAAUCCCCUCCUUGCUCAUCUCUGCCCCGCUGUGCGCCUCUCCUCCUUCUCGCCGCCGUCGUGCCUCCUCUCCUCCGGCUUGUCUCCUCCCUGAGCUCAGCAGGAGGAGGAGGACGUGAUGCGUGUCUCUCCUCUUCGCCGCCGCCGCGCACCUCUCCUCCCGCCUCUGUCGCUCCUCUCUCCUCCGGCCUGCUUCUUCCUUGGCCUCAGCCGGUGGAGCACGACGUGCCGCAUGCUCAGCAGGAGACGCCACCAGGGGCGCUUCCUUAGAGGAGUGGAGCGCGGAUCUUCCAGAGGCCGGCGAGGCGGAUGCUGCGGCGCCGUCGUCUUCAGCGGAGAGGAGCUCGAGCCACCGCCAGGCUGCCGCCAAGCCGCACCAGAGGAAGGGCCGCCGCUGCACCGCGGGAGAGGUCAAGGCCCUGUUGUGUGUGGGUGAUUCGCUGUUCCUACUGAGGAAGAUGGGAAGGGUAGAAAGAAGGGAUGAAGGAAGUAGAAGAGGAGACAAUGGAUGGGCGGGAUGGAGCAGCACUGCACGUUGUUUGAAUCGCCGCUACGUUCUCUCGUCGCCGGCAGGAGCGCGACAGUACUCAACGGGAGUUGAACGGGGUGCUGCUCUCCAUCCUUGACCAAGAAGGAGGACAUCAAAGCGCAUCCUAACAAAUGGUUCCGACUGACAUAGCAUAUACAUGCCCUUCUACACAUAUUCUUCAUCUGGCAGUGGUGAGUUGGUGCUAGUGAUGGAGAUGGGCACAAAUACGAGUACUCGGUGAUGUGUAGUCGGAGAUCAGGCCUACUCCGUCAACAACUUCUCAAUGAUUAUCAUGGAAAAGCAGAUCGAGAGGAGGCGGUCAUUUCAGUAUAGAGAGGUGAUGGCUUGAGAUUCAUCACUGGCCACCUAUGGCAAGUCCAAACUAGAUACAUCAACUGUUAAACCUACGUGGAAAAAGUAACGCUACACAAGAUCUUUGCGAGCUCGGGACAAGCAGGAGAUGAUGGGAGUGAAGGCACUCCCGUGUUUCACAUGGAUGUUUUGCGAUCUGGUCGUACUGUGAUUAUUGGUCCUAUGGCAUGCCUCUGUCGUGGUUGCGAGGGAAUGGAAAAGCAAUUAUAGGGAAAUUAUCAAUUUUCGCUUGGUGAUCAUAGGCCAUUCUUUGGUGUUUAGUAGUUUAUGUCAAGAUUGUAGGAUACUUUUUUAUACACCGGAGGAAGAGCUCGCUAAUUUGGUUCACAUCGUCAUAUAUUUUGUUAGCAUUUCAUUUCAGAAUAUCUGAUUUUCGGCAUAUUUUUCUGUAAAGAUUACAAAAAAAUCAGUCAUUUGUUAAAUAUUGUCUUCUAUAGUGCCAAAGGCAAGUUGAGCCAGAAGGCAAGCUUGCUUCUUUACAUGUGUUUUUGUGGUAAAGCUUACAAGCAACUUCUGUCAUGUGUCAUCUAAAGAAUGUUGCCUUCUAUAGUUCAGUGAGGUGAAGCAACAUACCAAAGUUGGUUGCUUCUGAUAUUUAAGUGUGUCAUUGUACUCUGGUAUUAGUGUGUUAUUAGUAAUUGCCAAUCUGGAGUAUAUAUUUGUUGGACAAGGUUGUAUAAUAUAUGGGCCAGAAUAUUCACUGGUUUGCAAAGCCUACUUAUACAGAACUCAUAUUCAUAUUGCAGAAUUAUAAUGUAGUUUCUUCACAUGGAUGUAGUUCUUCUGCUAGCAUUCAGAUACAGUAGUCAAUUCUUUUGGCGACGUUGUAGAAUAUUGUAGCUGAACAGGUUUGCAUAUGUUCCCUGCAUAUAUUUUUUCACAUGCAUGAUCUGCAAAGUUCCAUUUUGGUAAAUAGCACCAAAUUUACAGUCGAGUAGUUCAAUCAGUGCGGUUCAUGGCAGUUUUUUCGAGACCCCUCUUGAAAAUUGUUUCUCCUCUUUAUAACUUUGAUAGACUCUUUUAGGAUUUGUUGUUGUUUACUAGCACAUUCGAGGGUGUGCGAAGAUGCUCCAUUUGAAGAUAUUGGAUUGAAAUGCUCUUUAUUUCUUCUCUGUUAUGCUCUUUAUUGGAUCGGAGUAAUUUGAAUUGGUGUUUUGGAAAAUUUCACCUGAUGGGUGCUAGGGAAGACCCAUGUUCCAGAUUCAGGGAAUGACUUUGCAUUGCUACUUCAGAUGGGAGCUUCACCAGAGAAAUCUGGUUGCUUUUGACACCACCAUGUUUUCUCGCCCCCAAUCUCUAAUAGAUUGGACUAAUAUGUGUGAAUUUCAUACUGGUUCAAGUUAUUAUUUUUAAGACAAUCUCAGUGUACAAGUUGCACCUUAUAUAUGUAUUAUCUCGCUUUACUUUGCUGCUGAAUUCUUCUGUAGCCUAUUCUCUGAGCUUAAUUAAUACAUCAUUUUACAAAAAAGCUUAUCAAUCCGAAAGAACUUUUGUCUUUUGAACUUCCUUUUGGAAUGACUAGGUCCUGUGUGUUUUCACUUACUGGCUGAGACCAAUUAGAAGGUAGAAUAUGUGUUCCUAAAUGACGAUAUUGAUUUCAUUUCCUAGACGUUGAAACUUCAAACCUCUUAAACUCGGAGCUGCCUUUGGUUUAAACCUGAAUAUUUUGUGUGUUGUGUUUCCGGCCUAUUUUGUUUACACUCGGAUUCGGUAACACCCCAUGAAUAUCAGAUGGAGUUGAGAUAUAAAAUGGAUCAAGGUUUUUAUUUUUCCCUUUAUGCUACGAAUGUUUGAGUGGACAUACAAUCAGAUAUUUAUUGCUUGUUAUUUUACGUAACUGGUUGUCUACUUAUUUUGUACUACCUAGCUUGCGCUAAUUUACUGCGUGAUUGUCAUUUUUUGUUUCUUGCUUCAGAGCACACUUUCUACUUAUCGUGGUUUUUUCGUUUGUGAAUAAGAAAGUUCCCAUUAUAGAUACUACAAGGCUUUAGGUGUAUGCUUUGAUAUAUUCUGUCUUACACCUAUACACAGGAAAGAAAGCAAUGUGGUAAGUUUUAGAUUUAGAAAAUGGGUACAAAAGGAUACAUGAGUAAUAUGGGGAUAUAAUCAGUAUGGCUGCAUGUAUUACAUUUUAUUUAAUAUUGGAUCUUUCGAUUUUCAUGCCAUAAUUUCUGACUUCCGCCUUAAUAUAGACACAAGGCAAUAACGCAGUGGUUAAUUAUUUCCAAGUUUUAAUUUCCUGUAUGAGUAAGACCAUCUACCUAAUUUAUUUUGGCCAUCACAAAUAUUGUAUUUUGCUUAGGAGAUUACUGUUGGUAUCAAUAUAGUGCUCUGAAACAAUCUUAUGCUACCAUGAAAUUGAAUAGAUGGCCGUAUCGUAAUUUAGUUAGCUUGAAACUGUUUUUUUUUUUGUUGUAAAUGGGGCUCUUCAAAUUUUCUCCACAACUCCUAUUUAAUAAUUAUCACUUUUAACAAUUUGUUGCUCUGUUUGUCCUAAUUUAGUUCUAGCAGCAACUUUUGUAAAAAAUGUAUUAUCAUAUUGGUAGUAAAUUUUAUCGUUACAUCGGCAUGAGCUCCACGGGAUCAUGCGCCAAGGCGCACAUUUAAAUCUCUUCAAUAUCUUUCUCUCCCGGCGUCCCCCUGCAGCGCCUCUCACCCCGCUGGCGCGAUGCGGGCAUCCGCCUUCGUCAAUUUCCCCGCUGCCGCGGCGAGUCAGGGUUCUUGCGUGGGUGGCUGCUGCGGCGCCGGAUUUGGUGAUGUCUCCAUCCCCUCCCCUGGCUGCGUUUGCUCCACCUCGAUGUGCCGGCGGCGGAGCAUCAUGGCUUUUCGAACAAACAGGUUCUUCGCCAGAUUCGUCUACGAGGUACGCCAUGCGGGCGCAAAGAACCCUACUGUGAGGCCUUGGGGCACCUAUAGAAGGAGGACGGAGACGUUGUUCGUCGGCGAGAACACGCCAUCUGCCACAGAGUCAUUUUGCCUUAAAAGUGGAAGAUGGUACAUUUCCUUGCAGCAAAUACAGUUAUCGCACAAGGGUAUGAUCCUCUACUACUCAGCAACCAGAGCUCACACAUGUGCUGGAUAUGGUCAAUGCCAUAGAUGUUCAUGUUGGUUACCUCUUCAAGUUUGUUCUUUGAUUCUAAAAUUGGUUCUAUGUAUUCUACUAUUUCUUCAUGUUGUUAUAUAGGUAAGAAUUAUAUACAGUGUAAAUCCCUGAUUUGUGCUCUAACAUUGUCCAUUGUAGUUGUUAUCUUGAGAACGAGCCAAUUAUUGUGAUGACUUUUUUUUUGGAUUGCUGGUUGUUGCUCUGCUCUUAAUUGGCAACAGUAAGUAUGCAUUUUGUAUUCUAUGGCUGGAAUAUGAGGUGGUGCGCAUUUAGUUUUUCAUUCUUUCCAUUGUGUAAGAGUGGUUGCAGCCUUUUCAUUUUGUCCAGAAGAUUUAUGAAGGAUGUACCACAAGAUUUAUAUGCAGAAAUUUAACCUGAUUUUUCCUUAUUUUCAGUUGUAGUUUUACAACAGUUAGUGAGCACAUUAUGGGUUCAUGAGUGGGCAGAGAUUAUAAAGUAAGAUUGAGGCACUUUUUUUACCUGAUUUAAGCAGGUGACAUGGUGGUUUGAUUAUAAACAUGGAAGGAAGGUAAAAUGCUUUCUCCAAUGGCACUAGAUUAUUAUAGUGAGUACCUUACCAAUUUCGUUGCUCAUCAUCAUAAUGCCCUUGACACAGAUUUCUCUGUUAAUUGUGUUAACAGAGCUUCUCUUUAAUCUUCUAUGCUUGCUAAAACUGAUGGAACUUCGAUUAGUAAUUUUCUCAAAUGAUGCAUUGGAUCUGAGGUACUUGAUUUCUCCAUGUGCACUCAAGUAUCAUCUCAAGCCCAUCGACAGUUUAGCUCAUAUAAGCAUUGUGAAGUAUUACUAAGUUGUUAGAAGCAGUAGGAUCACUCCCUUUUCAGUAAAAUAUUUCAAACAUCCUUAAAAUAAAGGGAAACAAACCACAUGCUCAUUUAUUUAUUCAUUCAUUCAUCAAUCUAAACAUAUACACACUGGUAUUUUCAUAGAGUUACAUACAAUUUCACAAUACUUGUGCUACACAAACUCUCUACUGGUAAAAUGAGUGACGCUCUCUUCCU